rnacentral:rRNA from 1 species
CCUACAGACCACCAUACCCCCGGGAAACUGAGGCUAAUAGUGGAUACGGCUCUCACGCUGGAGUUGCAGAGAGCCGGAAAUGCCCCGGCGCUGUAGGAUGUGGCUGCGGCCGAUUAGGUAGAUGGCGGGGUAACGGCCCACCAUGCCGAUAAUCGGUACAGGUUGUGAGAGCAAGAGCCUGGAGACGGAAUCUGAGACAAGAUUCCGGGCCCUACGGGGCGCAGCAGGCGCGAAACCUUUACACUGCACGCCAGUGCGAUAGGGGGACUCCGAGUGCGAGGGCAUAUCGUCCUCGCUUUUCUACACCGUAAGGUGGUGUAGGAAUAAGGACUGGGCAAGACCGGUGCCAGCCGCCGCGGUAAUACCGGCAGUCCAAGUGAUGGCCGAUAUUAUUGGGCCUAAAGCGUCCGUAGCUGGCCGAGCAAGUCUGUCGGGAAAUCCAGUAGCUCAACUACUGGACGUCCGGUGGAAACUGUUCGGCUUGGGACCGGAAGACUCGAGGGGUACGUCCGGGGUAGGAGUGAAAUCCUAUAAUCCUGGACGGACCACCAAUGGCGAAAGCACCUCGAGAGGACGGAUCCGACAGUGAGGGACGAAAGCUAGGGUCUCGAACCGGAUUAGAUACCCGGGUAGUCCUAGCUGUAAACGAUGUUCGCUAGGUGUGUCACUCACUACGAGUGAGUGAUGUGCCGCAGGGAAGCCGCUAAGCGAACCGCCUGGGAAGUACGUCCGCAAGGAUGAAACUUAAAGGAAUUGGCGGGGGAGCACUACAACCGGAGGAGCCUGCGGUUUAAUUGGACUCAACGCCGGUAACCUUACCAGCCCCGACUACGGUGAUGACGGCCAGGUUGAUGACCUCGUCACGACGCCGUAGAGAGGUGGUGCAUGGGCCGCCGUCAGCUCGUACCGUGAGGCGUCCUGUUAAGUCAGGCAACGAGCGAGACCCGCACUCCUAAUUGCCAGCAUGUCCCUUGUGGAUGAUGGGUACAUUAGGAGGACUGCCGCCGCCAAGGCGGAGGAAGGAACGGGCAACGGUAGGUCAGUAUGCCCCGAAUGGGCUGGGCAACACGCGGGCUACAAUGGCCGAGACAAUGGGUUCCAACCCCGAGAGGGGACGGUAAUCUCAGAAACUCGGUCGUAGUUCGGAUUGCGGACUGCAACUCGUCCGCAUGAAGCUGGAUUCGGUAGUAAUCGCAUUCCAGGAGAGUGCGGUGAAUACGUCCCUGCUCCUUGUACACACCGCCCGUC